CCUACGGGUGGCAGCAGUGGGGAAUAUUGGGCAAUGGGCGCAAGCCUGACGCAGCAACGCCGCGUGAAGGAAGAAGGCCUUCGGGUUGUAAACUUCUUUUCUCAGGGACGAAGCAACUUACGGUACCUGAGGAAUAAGCCACGGCUAACUACGUGCCAGCAGCCGCGGUAAUACGGAGGUGGCAAGCGUUAUCCGGAUUUACUGGGUGUAAAGGGCGUGUAGGCGGGACUGCAAGUCAGAUGUGAAAACCAUGGGCUCAACCUAUGGAAGGCAUUUGAAACUGUAUUUCUUGAGUACUGGAGAGGAAGACGGAAUGCCUAGUGUAGCGGUGAAAUGCGUAGAUAUUAGGAGGAACACCGGUGGCGAAGGCGGUCUGCUGGACGGAAACUGACGCUGAGGUGCGAAAGCGUGGGGAGCAAACAGGAUUAGAUACCCGAGUAGUC
rnacentral:rRNA from 1 species